rnacentral:rRNA from 1 species
CAGGCCUAACACAUGCAAGUCGAACGGUCGUAGCAAUACGAUAGUGGCAAACGGGUGCGUAACGCGUAAGCAACCUGCCCCAAACUGGGGGAUAGCCCGGCGAAAGCUGGGGUAAACCCGCACGGUCCAUGGCCCUCACCUGGGGGUUUUGGUAAACAUUUAUGGGUUUGGGAGGGGCUUGCGUCUGAUUAGCUGGUUGGCGGGGUAAUGGCCCACCAAGGCUGUGAUCAGUAGGGGUUCUGAGAGGAUUGGCCCCCACAUGGGUACUGAGAUACGGACCCAACUCCUACGGGAGGCAGCAGUAGGGAAUAUUGGGCAAUGGGCGGCAGCCUGACCCAGCCAUGCCGCGUGAAGGAUGAAGGCGCUCAGCGUUGUAAACUUCUUUUAGCUGGGAAGAACGGCAGAGAUGCGUCUUUGUGUGACGGUACCAGCGGAAUAAGCACCGGCUAACUCCGUGCCAGCAGCCGCGGUAAU